UGGCGGAUGCCUUGGCUCUGAGAGGCGAUGAAGGACGUGACAAGCUGCGAUAAGCUACGAUUAGGUGCAAAUAACCUGUUAGUCGUAGAUUUCCGAAUGGGGCAACCCAGCAUACUGAAGGUAUGUUACCCGAAAGGGGGCAAACCCGGCGAACUGAAACAUCUAAGUAGCCGGAGGAAGAGAAAAUAAUAAUGAUUCUCCUAGUAGUGGCGAGCGAACGGGGAACAGCCCAAACCAGUAUUGUUUCGGCAAUGCUGGGGUAGUAGGACUGCAACAUGGACUUAAUAUUUAUAGUAGAACCAUCUGGAAAGUUGGACCAUAGAGAGUGAUAGUCUCGUAAGCGAAAUAGAUAUUAUACCUAGCAGGAUCCUGAGUAGCACGAAACAGGUGAAAUUUUGUGUGAAUCAGCCGGAACCAUCCGGUAAGGCUAAAUACUCCUCAAAGACCGAUAGUGAACUAGUACCGUGAGGGAAAGGUGAAA
rnacentral:rRNA from 1 species